CAGCUGUUUGGUAUGGGUUUAGUGUCAUUUCUAUUAUUUUCCCAGAGUUUUGCGAAAUAUCUUAAAUUAUAGACGUUGUGGGGGUGUCGAGAUAUUAGAUGGCAUUUAGUGAAGAUGUCAGUUCUAAGUAGUAAAGCAAGGGCCUGUCACAAAACUCCAAUAUUUCACCUCCUCCGAUAUAGGAGCCAUGAACUGGAAUAUGUGUAAAGUCUUGCCAGGACUAUAUGUUGGCAACUAUCGCGAUUCGAAAGACCACCAACAGCUGGAUCGUUACAACAUCACCCACAUCAUUGCGAUUCAUGACAGCCCCAGGCGUCUGUUGCCAGACAAACACUAUCUGUGCGUGAUGGCUGCUGACACGCCCGACCAGAACCUCUCGCAAUACUUCUCAGUUUGUAACGAUUUCAUUCACGCCGCCCGACUCCGGGACGGGAACGUUCUAAUCCACUGCCUGGCGGGAAUGUCGCGCUCAGUUACGGUGGCUGUUGCUUACAUUAUGACCUGCUCGAAUCUGAACUGGAAGGAAGCACUGAAGGUGGUGCGAGCCGGUCGUGCCGUGGCCAACCCGAAUUUAGGAUUUCAGACUCAAUUGCAGGACUUUGAGAUGAAUCGACUGGCGGAGGAGCGACGGCGACUACGCGAACGCUUCCCAAGCGUAGCGCUCGAGCAAAUGGAUCGGGACCAAUGCACGACGGCUCUGUGCAGUUACGAGGAGCAACUACUGAACAAGGACAUUUGCGAAGGGAAUUGCUCGCGAACGGAGAAGUGUCCAACAGGAUUAUGCAAUACGGACAAUGCAAAAGGUAUUUUUCGACGAAAGACCAGUUCAGCUUCAAUGGGCCGUAGUCGGCUAACCCCUAUUCCGGACGGUGCUCAAUCAUGUCCUACUUCGCCAAAGUACUCACAUCGGCAGCGUAGUCAACGUGACCGGGAUCGAGGUGAUCAGCCUCGGGAUCGAGAUCGAGAUAGGGACCGAGAGCGAGAUCGUAAAGAUCGCAAUGUAGAGCGAAGUCAAACUGAAGGAGGUCCCGGAACCUCGAGAACUUCAAACGGUUUGACGAGGAGUGCAAGUACAAUAAGCAAUAUAAGGCCGCGAAGUAGCCCAGCUGGAUUAUAUUCCUAUACAGGUAAGGAUGAAGGAUCAGCACCAACAUCCGUCCAUGGUUCACGUGUGGAUCUUGCAACACCCGAUAAAGGUUCCGCUAUCUACAUAGGAUGUGCACCUCCGAAGAAUGAGAUCUAUGGCUCGACGAAAUCUAUAGUAUCAGCGCGGGUGGGAUCAUCUAGUGCAUCGACACCGCUACAGACACCAACAAACACCCCACCGGUUAGUCCUAGCAAGCAAGCAAUCAAAAGGUCAAGCAGUGUCGUUAAAAAGAAAUGAAAACUAGAGUUUGCAUCCUGUGUGCUUGCUCACUAUAGCAGAGAUGUUUCUUCCUACGCUUCAUAGUAUUUAUCCGAGGUUCAGGCUGCUGGAGGCCAAGCUAUUUGGUGCAGCGAAAAACAUUUAUAUAAAUACUACUAUCGCAUUGCCUACUCAUUAUAGUCACUUGAUGACCUAUUUUAGGGUUGACAAGGGGGCCAGCUCCUAUAAUUCUCAACUACUCAAGUAACAUUGCCGCUAAACCAACGACCAGAUUCGAAGUAACACUUUGUUUAUGGCCUUCAUCGAAAGGAAGAAGAUCAUACAUUCACCUUACUUAUUAUACAUUCCGCAACCUAUGAAAAAAAAAAAUUCGAACGGCUUUGUAACGGACAAGCAAAUUUUGAAUAAAAGUGUAAUAUUUUAUUUGACAAUUAUAUUUGUUAAUUUCUAACGAAUUGUUGUAAUUGUCAUUUAGAAGUUUAAUAUGGAUAGAAAAAAAAUAAUUUAAAAUCGAGAAUUAGUAAUCUGUAAAUAAUAGAAAAUAAAUAAAUCAAGAAAAUUUGCUUUAGACAAUUUUUAAAUAAUUGAAAAGAAAAUUUAAAAUUGAAGAUAUAUUUAUGUAUGGUGAAGAAAGUUGAUAAUUCAGAAGAAAAUGUUAUAAGAGAGGUCAUGUUCCUUGGAAAAAACAGAGACCCUGAUUAAAUAGAGCAAAGUUUUGAUGAAUUCGUUUGAAUCAGUUGCAAAUAAACGAAAUUAUUGAUUCAUUAAGUGAAAGAUUGUCAUUUUUCAUGAUGCUCAUGCCUUUGUUAAACAUAUGUAGAGUUAUAUAUGAAAUACUACCCGACUAACUACAAUUAGUCAUGUUCGCACAAAAACUCAUGUGGCCUAUUUCGCUGUUUUUACCAUAACAAUUGUAACUACAUAAAGGUCUGCAGGCAGACUCUAAAUCAAAUAUGUAGAUUCAAGAUAUGGUUAGUAAAUAUGUUUGAAGUGUUAAUGUUUUCGAUUGUUGAAAUUUCCUUGCUUUAAAUGCGAAUCCUGUUUAAGAAUAUAUAAAAUGGUUAAAGGUGAUUAUGCAAUCAAAAUUAAAAUGAGAUAAAAAACAAAAGAUAGUUUAAAAUCUAAAAUACUUAAUUGAAAGAUAAUCUGUCAUUUCUAUACAUAAAUUUGUACAUUCGCUAUUUUUAUAUGUGUCACGGAAGAAGACAAAAUUUAGGCAGAAUAAUUUGAAAAUUGUUCAUACUGUUGGCGGUGAGAUUUAUUGAAUUAAUAUAUGUUCAAGAUAGUGUUCCAUUAGAAAUCUUCCUGCUCGUCUGGAUGAUCUUCUGAUUGAUUCCUUCCCUCCUGUGUGAUCAAUCUGAACAACCUGUGUUUACUGAAGUUCAUCCACCUAUUUUUUGGACCCUAACCUGCCUUAGUACCCUAUUUACUCCUGCUGCCCUAUACGGCCUGCCCAUUUGCUGGUGUGCCCCACCAGCUUGUUGAGAAAGGACUCAUCAACUUGAUUUGAUCCUAACAUAGCACAUGUUUCAAACUGUGGCAAAUUUGUAUUGUUGAGAAAAUACUCAGAAAAAAAUGUAAAACCCUAAAAUAUUAGUAUAAAUUGCUAAAAGCGCUCGCUCUUGCCAUUUAAAGAAACUUUCAUUCAUUGUGAGCCGGAUGAAUUCAUGCUCAAUUGCAUUCCAAAUCUCGCAGGUUGAUAGAUAGGAACUCCACGCCUUCAUUCAUGAUUUCCGAAACAGCUACGGGACAUAUUAUUUGGAUAAUAUUUCUAAGAAGUUCUCCGAUCCAUGAUCAAAACGGCAAAUCUGAAUCCUCCUCCAGCUAUCCAGUAAGUACAAUCAAGUUUCCGAUUUCCAGUUCCACUCCUUCUCUACUACCUUCUGACCCUUAAGGCGUUGGCACUGCUCUAGCACUAGCAUGGGUCCAGUAUUCGGAUCUCAGUAUUCUGGUCCCUCUCAGCAACGCAUGUCGUUUGAAGUUCCCACUCAAUUUGAAGUCAAGCUAAUGCUUCAUUCAUUUUGUUCACAUGGCAUCACUAGUGCCCAUACACCACAGAAAAAAUCGGUUAGUAUUACGGACUCCACGGUAACCAACCAGCUGUCUUUGCUCCGCUUUUAUAUAAAAAUUCCUCUAUUGCCUUUCUGGAGCCGUUAGGGUAAAUGCAUCAAAUGGUAUACAAUUAAGAGAAAAAUACUAGGUCAAUGAUAAUUUUAGUUUGCAAUUUAAUUGGAUAGUUAUUAAGUGGAAUUUUAGGGUCAAGGAAUAGGAUUUUGAAUAAGAAAAUUGUUCAUUCAAAUUUCAAAGAUGAAUUAAGUCCAUUUCCAUGACUGCGUAGAAUCCAAAGUUGGGUGUUUCGAAUUAGCAUAUAUGGCCACCUCCUCUUCUGAGCAUCAGUCCAACGUUUUCGUCAUGCCCUGACUUUGUGUAUUGUCUCCCCCGUUCCUCGAAAUUAUGGUCGCCGUGCAUGUUUAGUCGUACAAUCUUUGCACCUUUUCAGUUGAAAUAUGAAUGGGUUUCAUUUAGUCACCACAAAUUCUGCUUCUUCUAACGUCGUUCGGAAAGCGCUAGCAUCUUAAGGCGAUCAGAUGAUGUAUUGACGAUAGGGUCUCCUUCAAUGCCUUAAAAUUAAGGGUCUUCGUCCAACCUGGUGCUGCCACACCCAGACAGGCAACAUCUUCCUCGCCGGUUUCGUCAUCAUAAUCAACGGAGCAACAACCGGUAUCCGGUCUAGGCCUGCCUCAGAAAGGAACUCCAGGCCGCGGUUUUGCGCCAAAGUCCACCAAUUCGAUAUCUCCAAGAACUGUCUAGCGCACGGAACCUCUUUCCACAUAUGAAGCUCACUUUGUAUUCCGCCAGCUCUAAUCCUGGUGAUAUUAACCAUUCCGAUUUCCCACAAGCUCAGAUAACAUCCGCAAGUUGUUUGUUUACUACCAAAAUUGCGAUGUUGUCAUUAUAGCCAAUAAGGGUAGUUUUUUCGCGGUAAUUUGAUCCAUAGCUCAUGGUCGUACACUGCAUUCCAGAACAGUUGACCCAAUGCUGAUCCUUGAGGCAUUCGCCGGUUGUCAAAUACUCAAAUGAGCCUGUGGGUUUCUAUCCACCAAAUAAUCCUCGAAGCCGGUUGAUUAUAUAUACAUGGUCUGCUUUGAAAGUAAUAGGAUUCGUUUUUUUUUAAAUGUAGUAUGGGAAAUCGGGGGUGUAGGCGACUGAAGUAGCAUUGUCACCUUGUGCUGGACAACAAACUCCACUACGCCGAAUGCUGUAUGGCUUUGCGCGUUGUCAUGGUGCAGCCGUCCAUUGUUGGCCACGACUGGGCAGACAUGAACAUUGUCUUUUCGCAGUCUUGUGAGGAGUUCCACGUAAAAAACUGCAUUAACUGUUUUUCCGAGUGGUACCAACUUUUUGUAAAUGAGUCCACGUCGAUUGAAAAGCUAAUGAGCACUGACUUUGUUUGAAUUUACUCAAUCGUGUUUUAAGGGAGCGGUUCUUUGGGUCAUACUUAAGCACCUAUGCCUACAUUGUCUAAAACGUUGGGUCCUCAUCCUGACGAUUGAGAAGAUCCUGGCCACCAACUUUGCACACAAUUUACUCAUAGGUAACUUUUUUUUUACGAUCUCAAAAAUUUGAGUUUGAGGGAAGUUAUCAGCAAUCACUUUGACACUCAUCUUAUGAUCACUGUUAGCGAAUCUUCCACUCGCGACAAGUUUUCGUUGCCCUUGCUGGUCAAACUGCGUUCGGAGCGGUCAUCGGACGACGGUAUCACUGUAGGCUUUCAUAAUCAUAUCGUUAGGUUUACCAAGCUUCAUGUAAAAUUUGAUCUUGUAUCAUUGCACCAUGAUUCUCCGUGACGGAUAAUUCAACGGCUGAGAACCAAUUGCCGAUUUCUCCCAACGUUCCCAAUAUCCACCUUCACAGAUCCUGGGCGAGCAGACUGCUUCUCGUCCGCCCAUUUGCCAGGAAAACCCAGUCCUGCUACUUCCUGAACACACCCUGUAGGUGGGCAUAAUCAGCCGGUUUAGGGAUGUUAUCAGCAUUCCUCAUAUCAAUAUUGAUGAUUGCACGACAUUUUCUGGUAUUGUCCUGCCAUUGCUUCUUCUGGUAGGUUGAUCACUGCAUUGUAUGCAUCAGCUGUUCAUCGAGCGGCGUUAAAAUCGUACUGUUGUUUAGAAGUCCUUCCUAUCUUCUCUAGAAUUGGAAAUAUCCUGUUUCAUAUAAUGCGUUCCAGAAGCUUUCCAAACUGCCCAGUAAAUAAAUGGGGUGGCACGAGGACGGCUUAUCAAGUGGUUUGCCACUCUAUGGUAGCAUCACCAGCAUCUGUAUUUUCAUCUGUUGUUGGUGCUUUAUUGGCCCCUAAUGGCAGCUUAUGUUAUAGCUGGAAUAACCUUUGGAGGAUGCUCUCUGUCGGUCAGAAUAGUCCAUCUGCUCUACCUGCGCAAUAAAAAUGAACACUUAAUCUGCAGGACUUUGUCUGUUUUCAGUUUUGCCAGUACUUCUCUGUAGGCGUGCUCUCUACGGGUAUAUGUUAGCCCCUUCGUUCCUUAUCGUUUAUUUUGCUCGCCUUCAUGGAUUGUCCUUGGCGAAUUUCUAGUGCAAGCUUUGUAUGUCCCUUUGUUUAACAACCUGCUUUCCUUUAUGCGUUGGUAAUUCCUCCUUGCAUUGCAUUUAGCAGGUGAUGCGACUUUUAAUUUUUUUCAAGGUUUUGGUAGUCUGUGGACAUUAUUUCUGCAUUCCUGACAAUUUAUUCACAUUCUUCUUCUCUAGCAUCUAUUGGCCCGGAAUUUCCAUAGUUUAGCCUGUUGGCCACUAUGUAUAUAGUGGCAUUUCCCUCUCCUGCGUCCUGUUUACAAAAGUAAUAUCUACCACUGAGCCUAGCCACCCUUUGGGGAAGUUGUAGGCGUUUCCGAUAUUAGCAAAUGCAAUGUCAAGCAACGAGAGGACUUCCAGCAGUGUCAGUCCUCUUUUGUUUGAAAGUUUACUCCCUCACUGAUACAAUGACAAUAGGGUUCGUGUGAGUGUGCCUAUAUAACGACUUGGUGACAAGUGAUGAUCCUAGAUGGUCGAAGUUAAUUAAGAAGGCAGAGUUAUUUUAAAAAUCUAAAAAAGGAGGCGAAAACAACCAUCAAAGUCCGUCCACAAUUAAUGUAGUUUGCCUGAAAUACCUGUCUAUACGCGUUUGCAAGUUACUGUGCUAGUUAGGCUCGGGAAUGUGGAGGGCACUUUUGAACACCUCAGUUCCUUUUACGUGAUUAUCAAGUAUUUCACAUGUGUUUUAAUCCGAUAAUACGAAUUGCAUUGGAAUCUGAAUCACAAAAUAACGAUGACGCGUGGAGUCCAAACUGCAGCGGAUCCAAAGCUGAAAGUGGGAAAACAAAAAAUUACUGGUUUGACCAUGGUCCUUCUUUGCUCGUAAUCUGCGCUUAGUCAAGCAUAGCAAAUAUAAGCAUGAAAGCCGUUUGGCUUACAAAUCUAUUGGGAGGUGUUUCCUCGAAUGAUUACCUUCCAGUCGUCCAAGGUCUUUCACUUUUAUAAUCGGUCCAUACUUUUUCUUUGUAGUUUUUAGACUGGUCCUAGAGAUCGUGACCAGCCGCAUAGUGGCUCAGAUUUGUCUGAAUAAACCUCAUUGGCACCUUGCUUUUGAAUCUCAUUGUCAGUGUCCUUUCUGCAUGACAUUGCCAUGUGUCCUUUUUUGACGCACCGUUUGCAUCGAUCAGAUUUAUUGCCCUUACUCUUGCAAGAUUUGUGUCUUUUGCAUUCUGCCGUUCUUCACUUGACUGCCAGCUUCCAGCAACUUGUUUGCUCAUACAGUCAUCAAACCUAUGAUUGCCUGUGGCGUGCCGUCAUUUGCUUUGCUUCAUAUAUCCUCUUGCGCUGUAGUCUCGUCGAGGUCCCUGCACGGCAUAGUUAUUUCGUGGUUCAAUUGCCUCAGCAUGACGCCCUUUCCUAAGAAUUUCCCUUUUGCCGUCUCCCCAGAUUCUUGUGAUAUUGCCACCUAAGCGACUUAGGGUCAGAUCUCCCUUGAUUUUCCGCAAAAUUUUAGUAUAGGAUAGGUCACUCUUGUUUUCGAUAAAAAUCGCGUCCAGACGGAAUUUCUUCAAUUGGGUUUGACUUGUUUCUUUGAUAUAACAAUUGUGCAAGCGUUUCUUCCCAUUUUCUGGGAUUCCAGUUGUGAACCAGAUUGAAGUUUCAAACUUUGGGCUCACCCCCGCCAAUCCUGCCUUUUUUAAAGUUUUGUACGUUUUUGAUGUUGGAACCUUUGCUGGAAUGUCUUUUAGCACUUUAUGCCUCCUUUAGCUUACUCCUUUGGGCUUGUUUCCUAUACUCGCAGUAGUGCUUUUCUCGCUGUCUCAGUAGCUUGAAAAUUCAAUAGAUAAUCUCAUUGCCAAUUACUAUAAACCAGUCUAACCAUUACUCUAUAUAUGUACACCCAACCACAAAUAUCAGACGUAACUGAAACAAUCCUUAAAAAAGUACCCUUUUCCUAGCGCUUUUACUGUAUUGAGUAGUUUGAUUAGUAAAAAUUAGCUUCGAAUUUCAAACCAAAAAAAAACCUAAAACAUUUUUACUCUAUCUAGAUUUUCAGUGUGAUAAACAUAAAUGUAGCGCUUCUAGAGAAAAAAAUCCUCUAUUUUCUAAAACAUGUGGAACGCUUAAAAAUCACCAAAAAAAAAAAAAAUCCUGAGACCAAAAAACUAUUUAGCUUUUUCUAAAUUUAAUAAUUAAAUACACGAAACUGGUAGACGAACGUUCAAAAAAUGGAAAACAAAAUACAAAAAAAAAAUUGUAAAGUAGGAAAGCGAUAAACCAUGAAUUAGAAUGGAUUAAACUAAAAAUAAAAUCAAAGAUCAAAUAGAAAUGCAAUGGAUAUUUUUCUUACCGAACAAAACUGUAUGUUUUAUAUAUUUUGGAAUGGAGAAAACACAAAACCCGACAUCUCUGAAAAUAUAUUGCAUUUACAGCAUUCUAAUAGCGAUUGUAUAUUUUUUAACAAUAAAUGUUGAGUUUUUGUUGAUAUUAUAGAUGAUUUUUAAGAAAUGAAAGUUUUAAAUAAAAUGUUGAAGAAAAACUAGUUGAUGAAAUAGUAGAAAC
rnacentral:misc_RNA from 1 species